rnacentral:rRNA from 1 species
AUUGAACGCUGGCGGCAGGCCUAACACAUGCAAGUCGAGCGGAUGAAGGGAGCUUGCUCCUGGAUUCAGCGGCGGACGGGUGAGUAAUGCCUAGGAAUCUGCCUGGUAGUGGGGGCUAACGUCCGGACACGGGCGCUAAUACCGCAUACGUCCUGUGGGAGAAAGUGGGGGUUCUUCGGCCCUCACGCUAUCCGAUGAGCCUAGGUCGGGUUAGCUAGUUGGCGGGGUAACGGCCUGCCAAGGCGACGAUCCGUAGCUGGUCUGAGAGGAUGGUCAGUCACACUGGAACGGAGACACGGUCCAGACUCCUACGGGAGGCAGCAGUGGGGAAUAUUGGACAGUGGGCGAAAGCCUAGUCCAGUGAAGCCGCGUGGGGGAAGAAGGUCUUCGGAUUGUAAAGCACUUUUAGUUGGGAAGAAGGGCAGUAAGGUAAUACCUUGCUGUUUUGACGUUACCAACAGAAUAAGCACCGGCUAACUUCGUG